GACGAACGCUGGCGGCGUGCCUAAUACAUGCAAGUAGAACGCUGAAGAGAGGGGCUUGCUCUUCUUGGAUGAGUUGCGAACGGGUGAGUAACGCGUAGGUAACCUGCCUUGUAGCGGGGGAUAACUAUUGGAAACGAUAGCUAAUACCGCAUAACAAUAGGUGACACAUGUCAUUUAUUUGAAAGGGGCAAUUGCUCCACUACAAGAUGGACCUGCGUUGUAUUAGCUAGUAGGUGAGGUAACGGCUCACCUAGGCGACGAUACAUAGCCGACCUGAGAGGGUGAUCGGCCACACUGGGACUGAGACACGGCCCAGACUCCUACGGGAGGCAGCAGUAGGGAAUCUUCGGCAAUGGGGGCAACCCUGACCGAGCAACGCCGCGGGAGUGAAGAAGGUUUUCGGAUCGUAAAGCUCUGUUGUAAGUCAAGAACGAGUGUGAGAGUGGAAAGUUCACACUGUGACGGUAGCUUACCAGAAAGGGACGGCUAACUACGUG
rnacentral:rRNA from 1 species